GGCUUCGUAGCCCAGCUGGUAGAGCACUUGCCCCGUAGAGGCAUGGUGUUUCUGCCGCUGGUUCGAGUCCAGCGAAAGCCU